GGCCUCGUCGCUCAGCUGGUAGAGCGUGCGGUGUACAAAAGCGUAGGUUCGAAUCUCACCGAGGCUA
rnacentral:tRNA from 1 species